rnacentral:rRNA from 1 species
CCUACGGGGGGCAGCAGUGAGGAAUAUUGGUCAAUGGACGAGAGUCUGAACCAGCCAAGUAGCGUGAAGGAUGACUGCCCUAUGGGUUGUAAACUUCUUUUAUAUGGGAAUAAAAUGUUCCACGUGUGGGAUUUUGUAUGUACCAUAUGAAUAAGGAUCGGCUAACUCCGUGCCAGCAGCCGCGGUAAUACGGAGGAUCCGAGCGUUAUCCGGAUUUAUUGGGUUUAAAGGGAGCGUAGGUGGAUUGUUAAGUCAGUUGUGAAAGUUUGCGGCUCAACCGUAAAAUUGCAGUUGAAACUGGCAGUCUUGAGUACAGUAGAGGUGGGCGGAAUGCGUGGUGUAGCGGUGAAAUGCUUAGAUAUCGCGAAGAACUCCGAUUGCGAAGGCAGUUCACUGGACUGCAACUGACACUGAGGCUCGAAAGUGUGGGUAUCAAACAGGAUUAGAUACCCGAGUAGUC